GAUUUUUCUGAGCAGGCCUCCCAAGCUAGACAUGUCAGUAUGAGAUGCUGCCUACGUUUUUCAUCAUGACCAACAGGUUGUUAAACUGCAAUCAAAAGCACUUAGGAGGAAUGGAUCUGUCCCUGUUAUGGGAUUUGAACUGACAUCUUUAUCCACUGGAACUUGAGUGCCCAGGACACACCAGAGAGGGGAUUUUGAGAGCGUUUCACAAGGCCUGCAGCUGUGAGCCGGUUGCAGCAUGAGGAAAAGCCCUCCAUCACCCCAAUGCACAGGAAAGAGAAG